NNNNNNNNNGUUUGUGGGUGGUGGUCUUCGUUUCCCUGAAAACGGCACGUAAGGUCGUCCCUCCGGUUUGUGUGGUUGCCGCCUUCCAUUCGCUCCCAUCAGUUGGAGGUGGGAUUGCGGUUGGGGGUGUCGGCCGUGAGCUGUGGAGGUACGCCGGGCCUUGCCUUCCGAUAUCACGUCGAGCGGGAGCACCCUUCCAAUUCAAGCAUAUAACUAAGCGGAGGAAGAGAAACCAACGAGGAUUCCCUUGGUAGCGGCGAGCGAACUGGGAAUAGCCCAGACGGAAAAUCCAGGGGCUCUGUUGCUCCCUGAAUUCUAGUCUUGAGAGGCAACCUCUGCAGCGGGCCGUGUGCAGGUUCCCUGGAAGGGGACGCCGAAGAGGGUGACAGCCCCGUCGACCGCCGGACCCUGCUAHGCAACGAGGUGUUGUCCAAGMGUCSGGUUGCUUGGGAAUGCAGCCCCAAUUGGGUGGUAAGUCCCAUCCAAGGCUAAAUAUGUGCGAGGGACCGAUAGCGAAGAAGUACCGCGAGGGAAGGAUGAAAAGAACUUUGAAAAGAGAGUUAAAGAGUGCUUGAAAUUGUCAAGCGAGAAGCGGAUGGAGGGGAAGUCGUGCGCUCCUGUCUGGGCAGGGGUGGACGGCGAAUGAUUAGAGGCCUCGGGGGUGAAACACCCUCGACCUAUUCUCAAACUUUAAAUAGGUAAGAUUUUGGGGUUGCUUAAGCAAACCCCGAGGAUCAAUGAAAGYUCCAAGUGGGCCAUUUUUGGUAAGCAGAACUGGCGAUGCAGGAUGAAUCGAAACUCGAGCUACGGUUCCAAACUGCGCGCAAACCCAGACACCACAAAGGGUGUUGAUUGAUACAGACAACAGGACAGUGGUCAUGGACGUCGAAAUCUGCUAGGAGUGUGUAACAACUCACCUGCCGAAUCAAUCAGCCCCGAAAAUGGAUGGCGCUGAAGCGCGCGACCUAUGCUCGGGCGUCGCGGCGAUUGUGACGCUGCAACGAGUAGGAGGGCGCAGGGCCUGCUGCGAAGCCUGGAGCGUGAGCCUACGUGAAGCGGGUCCCGGUGCAGAUCUUGGUGGUAGUAGCAAAUAUUCAAAUGAGAACUUUGAAGACCGAAGUGGAGAAGGGUUCCAUGUGAACAGCGCUUGGACAUGGGUCAGUCGGCCCUAAGAGAUGUGGAAACCUUGUAUCACGGGCGCACUGCGCGCCGCACAUCGAAAGGGGGUCGGGHUAAUAUUCCCGAACCGGGUUGUGGAGGUGGACGGUAAUGUAAGCAGCUCCGGAGAAGCCGGCGGGGGCCGUGGGGAGGGUUCUCUUUCCUUCUUGGCGGCUCGCCCACCCUGGAAUCGGAUCAACCGGAGAUAGGGUGCAGCGCCCGGCAAAGCACCGCGCGUCUUGUGGUGUCCAGCGUGCCCCCGACGACCCUUAAAAAUCUUGAGUUGCGGGUACCUCUCACGCCCGGCCGUACUCAUAACCGCAUCAGGUCUCCUAGGUGAGCAGCCUCUGGUCAAAGGAAGAAUAUAGGUAAGGGAAGUCGGCAAUAUGGAUCCGUAACGUUGGGAAAAGGAUUGGCUCURAGGGCUGGGCCUAGGGGUCUGCGCAUUGAUGUCGUUGGCUGCCGGUGGUCUGCCCGAGCUGCUCUCGCGGCGAGGGCGGAGCCAGCGUGCCAGUCUGCCGACGGGCGUAGAAUGUCUUAUGUCCCCACCUUUCGGGUGGGGCCGUGGGACUCUCCCUAAGCAUCAAACUGCUGACUCAGAACUGGUGCGGACAAGGGGAAUCCGMCUGUUUAAUUAAAACAAAGCAUUGCGAUGGUCCCAACAGAUGUUGACGCAAUGUGAUAUCUGCCCAGUGCUCUUAAUGUCAAAGUGAAGAGAUUCAACCAAGCGCGGGUAAACGGCGGGAGUAACUAUGACUCUCUUAAGGUAGCCAAAUGCCUCGUCAUCUAAUUAGUGACGUGCAUGAAUGGAUUGAUGAGAUUCCCACUGUCCCUAUCUACCAUCCUGCGAAACCACAGCCAAGGGAACGGGCUUGGAUGAAUCGGCGGGGAAAGAAGACCCUAUUAAGCUUGACUCAAUUCGACUCUGUGAAAGGUGUAGAAUAAGUGGGAGCCUUACGGCGCAAGUGAAAUACCACUACUUUUAACCUUAUUUUACUUAUUUCGUGAGGUGGAGCCGGGGGUCUCCCCCUGCUUCUUGAUCCAAGGUGCAGGCCCUCGUGGCGUGUCCGAUCCAAGCAAAAGACAUUGUCAGGUGGGGAGUUUGGCGGGCGCGGCACAUCUGUUAGAAGAUAACGCAGGUGUCCUAAGAUGAGCUCAACGAGAACAAAAAUCUCGUGUGGAGCAAAAGGGCAAAAGCUCAUUUGAUUUUGAUUUCCAGUACGAAUACAAACUGUGAGAGCAUGGCCUAUGGAUCCUUUAGCGUUUCAGGACUUGAAGCUAGAGGUGUCAGAAAAGUUACCACAGGGAUAACGGGCUUGUGGCAGCCAAGCGUUCAUAGCGACGUUGCUUUUUGAUCCUUCGAUGUCGGCUCUUCCUAUCAUUGUGAAGCAGAAUUCACCAAGUGUUGGAUUGUUCACCCACCAACAGGGAACGUGAGCUGGGYUUAGACCGUSGUGAGACAGGUUAGKUUUACCCUACUGAUGCACCRCCGUCGCAAUGGUAAUCCAACCCAGUACGAGAGGAACCGUUGGUUCGCACAAUUGGCAAUUGUGCUUGGCUGAAAAGCCAGCGGUGCAAAGCUACCUUGCGUGGGAUUAUGACUGAACACCUCUAAGUCAGAAUCUGUGCUUGCAGCGACGRCGUAUGCCUCCUCGGAUGACACAAGGCUGUCGAUAGGGCCAGCCSGUCUGGCCCCGAAAGCAUAAGUUCGGAGUUGUCCCUCCUGCGGCGGUGCACCGACGCCCUGGGGGUCUCUUUUU
rnacentral:rRNA from 1 species